AAACAAUGGAGCUGAAUGUCAACAUUAAAGAUGGAGAAGAUUGACGCCCGUUUAAUCAUCUGCCAGAGAGUAGCCCCAAUCGUCCCGAGACCCAAGUAAUACAUUUGGAAGGAGGAGAGGGCGGGAGCAGAAGCAGAAGCAGAAGCUACCCCCUUCUCAUGUAACAGGGUAGGGCCAGCCCAAGGAUCCCGCAAUGCACGGACGGUGUUAGUGGGGGAACAGGAAGUUCCCGACAGGCGUGCACCAUUCUUCAGAAUAAAAAAAGCGCCAGAACUGUGCAGUCAAGAAGGUAUCUUUUGUGCCCGUUUCCUUUUAUUACUACAGGUAUGAGGCCGGUAACAUCAACAGUAAGAAUAAACCCAGCCCU